GCCAGUGUAGUUUAAGCUUUUAGUUAGUGACGGUGUCUCUCACGCGGAGGACCCUAUUACAUCCAGGAAAAUCAACACUUUUUUCAACGUAACAUCUUUAAACUUGCCGAUCAUGCAAAAUCGUCCAUACGAAAUUGAGACGAUGACGAGCCUAUCUGCGAGAGACACCGUCAAAUCGAUCAAUUCGACUAACUCAACGACGAACGGGGAAUUUUCCGCGAUGAUAAUUCCCAACGAUCCACGUCUUCAGUGUAAUAGAAAACGAAGACGAUUGGAUAUUUCGGCAACUGCCACGGUAAUUCCCCAAAAGACGCUACGACGCAACGAACAGGAUGAUGACAAUGGCUACGAUAAUACUAACAAUAUUCUUCCCGUCAAUUAUUAUGAAAAUUUACGAACGGUUAAGCGUGAGAACAAGAAGUUUAAUAAAAGAUUGCCAGACAAGGUAGACGAAAGAGAAUGCCAAGAGAAAAGACAGAUUGAAAACGAUACUACUUGUGUUAAUGUUAACAUAAAGAGAAAGAAACAGGAACAGGAUACAUCAAUAAGAAGACUCGUCAAUUCGAAUAAUAACGUUAAAGACGAGUAUUCUAGAUUGAGAAAAACAAUCCAAUGGCUCGAAGAAGGUGCUCGUAGAUUACGAGAGGAUCUUGCUAAUGCAAGAACAGAAUUGCACGAGGAAAGAAGGGCAGCAAAGUUAGUCAAAAGAGAAAUCGAAACGGCCAUUAGGGAAGCAAAGGCCACAGAAGCUACCAAGUAUCAACUUAUCAUCUCGGAAUUAAAGACCAGACUGUCUCGUGGCAGCUCGGCAGAAUCGAAUUGCACGUCGCCGUUGCCGUCGUCGUCGUCGUCGUUGCCGUCGUCGUCGUCGUCGUCGAAGGUGGACCUCGUAAAAGAAGAUAAUCGAAAACGUGAGAUAUCGGCAAUGAAGAAGAGGCUCGUCGAAUCUGAAAAUACGAUUAGAAAGCUCAAGUUGGAUAGUUUGAAUUUGCAACAGGGAAAAGUUGCUGCCCACCCCUGCAAACUCGAUGGAUCGACUUGUGCCGAGGUCCGACGCCUUCAAAAUGAAAUUCACGCGUUACGCGCGAAUAACGAUAAACUCGAGACGAAAUUACGCAUCGCAACAGAUGCUGAAAAAGCUCGAGCGGCCGAAUUACGGAUUCAACAUGAGAAUCAUGAGGCCGAACUCGCUGCAUUACGAAAAUCUUUGAGAAGCGAAACGAUUAAAAUGAUGGACGAAAUGCGAGGAAAGAGUCGCGAGAUCGAGAAGCUUUCGAAGUUACUUCAAACUGAGAACUCCCGGAAACAAAGAAAGAUGCACCAAAAAGACGAAUCAUCAUCGAUGCGGAAGUUACAGGACAGCGAGAAAAACGGACCGAUUCGGUCGACAUCUCGCGGAGAGAAGAAAUUCCUUGUGGAGGAUCAUCAUACCUUGGGUACGUACAUUCGCGAAGUUGGUUGCGACAGAGCCAUAGAAGAAAUCGAGGUCGAGCGCCUCCGUGAGCUUGCACUCGAACAACAAGAAGUCAUCGAGAUACUUAGACAGACGGUCAAGGAAAAAGAACGAAAGCUCGAGCAGCUGUCGAACAAGAAAAGGAAAGAGGAAUUCUAUAGGCAAUGGUUGGAGCUCGAGCCAGUGGCCGAGGUCGACGAUGAAGAGGAUCACGAGGAAGGUGACAGUGCCCUUUCUAGUGCACCAUCAUCCCUUUCUCCUCAGCCAGGUGGUUGUGGACAAUGGCAGGGGUCAGGUGUCACCCGAGAAGCCUACGAAGCUGUUCUCAUAGAAAUCGAGGAACUCCAAUCAAAAUUAUUAGAUGAACGUCAAGAAUUGUCUCGUGCUAAGACCGAAGUUCUCGAUCUUGAAAAAGCUCUUUUGCAAGAGACAAGAUGUAGCAAUCGUAAUAAACAAUUGGAAGAACUGAACGAGAAGUUGCGAGCAACAGAAGAACGUGAAGCUAAUCUCCUUGUGGAAUUGUCCGAGUUGAGAGAACAAAACGAACUUUUAGAAUUCAGACUUCUCGAACUGGAAGAAUCAACCACUCGUAAAGAGAAUCCUGAUCACGCGGCUGAUAGCGGCAUUGUCUCGCCGGAACUAUUACAUCCGAGCAAGGAUCAAGUAAUAAGCAAGCAAAGAAAUCGUGCAGUGGCUACAGUGAUUCCAUAUACAAACAAUAAUAAUUACACUACUACUACAACGACGACACGUACGAUUUCUCCUGUACCACGAAAAGCACCAUUGUCUCUUCAAGAAAGUGGUAUAUUCGAAGAGGAGGAUGAAGAGGGCUUAGAAGUCGAACUAGCGAGUAAAGGAACCCAAACGGAGAUACCUUCCGGUGAACUUCUUCAAGAGGUUCAACGUCUUCAAGAACUUCGUGCACGGAUUCAAGAACGUGCAGCUAAAGUAACAAACACAGCUACGACAAUAUGUUCGAUCGAUACAUCUAAAGCCUGUCCGGCACUUGACACGGACGUUGAUUCGAUCGUUCAAUUGUCCUCCUAUCAAGAUCGUAUAAGAGAUUUGGAAGAUAGAUUAGAGGCUUACGAAGAGGCUGAAGAAAGGCAAACGGAGGAGAGACGAGUGACGAAGCAAAGGGAAGAAGAAUUGCUUGAUGAAAAUUACAGGUUAACCGAGAGGGUUUAUUGGCUUGAGAAUAAAUUACAUAACGUUGAGGAACUCAUUGAGAAUAGAAGCAGAAGUAGAAGUAACGAUAGAAGGAUUAUUCGUGAUGACAAUGAAUACGACAAAAUGGAAAAUGAUAAACAAUGCGACUGUCAAGUUUUUCAAAAUUACCAAGAAGUUCAACGAAAGACAAAAGGUGAAAACGUAACGUUCGAAAUAAUGGAGGACAUAUUGAAUCGUUCGAAAGAAGUUCAAACGACUGUUAUCGAAUCAAUUGAAGAUUGUUGUUCAUGUUGCCGAAUGUGUGAGAUUAACAAAAGAACGGAACAACCUCAGGAAUGGAUCGCACCGGAAACACGUCGUGUUAUGGUGGAAGUUGUUCAAAAUUGUACGGAGGAAAUGGUCGAGGAAGUAGCGCGGGAGGCCAAAGAAGAUGAAAAUGACGUUGACGAGGUUGACGAGGUUGAUGCAUCUGAGAAAAAUGAGAACGAUGAGCACGUAGAAAGAAGAAAAAGAAGAAGAAGAAGAAGAAGCAUCACGGAAGUUGCCGCGGGGAAUUUGGAGGAGAACAACGACGAGCCGAUAAAUUCGGUCGUUCAUUUAAACGACGAAUUGGAAUCCAAAAAGAAGGUGAUCUACUUUCGCUGGAGGUGAAAAUCCUUUCGUUUCUUGUCGGUGUAGAAGAGACUAUUCGUAUGCGCGUUUAUACUCAACAACAUUACAAGUACCACGAUAUGAUCGAUAAACUUCACCGUUGAUCUCUCAAUGCAUUAGCAAGGACAAAAUAGCUGGCGUUGCUUGACACCGGCUAAGCAUCGACCAGAAUUUGUUUCUGAGGGAAAAGAACAAUGGAGUCAUCUCGUCAUCUCGUUGUGUACCAUCGAAAGUAAAUAGAAAAGAAAAAACAAAAUAUCAUGCGCGCUUAUAUAAGUCUCUUUAACUAACAAAACCGACAAACAAUCUACACAUUGUUAUAGUAAACCAACUGCCAACAAGAAGAAAAUCAAAGGACCCUUCUGUCAGUGCCAAAAUGAAUAUAAUCUGAUUAUUAUAAACAAAAUCAAAUAUUAGGUUGAAUGAACUUUGAUCUGCAUUUGAUCGAAAGAUAAAUAUUUUUUGAUAUACAACAAGCAGAGGUCGCCAAAGUGAUGGUCCACGGAUCACUAGUGAUUAAGUCAUGUUAUGUUUUAACACUAGAUUUACAGGCAUUGCCUGUAUACCUUUUUUUUUACUGAAAUCCAUCUUUUUGAAGGGUAUGUUAACACUAAUCUAAAUUUGUUCGUGUCGCGCCGGUGGAACUGACUUACAUAAUUUCGCUUAUCGCCGGUGGUUUAAUUUCAUUUUAAUUAAUUAAUUAUUAUUUAAUUAAUAAACGCCGAAGUGCGGCCAUUAAAGUGUUAACUUUCGUUCUACAGUUUUGAAUAUCACAAUAAAACCAUCGGCUCUUGCGCGAUAAUUUUUGCAUGGCACCAACGUAGAGCUACCGACACUUACGCGAUAAUUUUUGCAUGGCACCAACGUUAAGCCAGUGGCACUUACCCAAUAGUUUUUCACAUGGCACAAACGUGGAGCCACCAGCACUUACGCGAUAAUUUCCAAAUGGCACCAAUGUGGAGCCACCGGCAUUUACCCAAUAAUUUUUGCAUGGCACCAGUGUGGAGUCACCGGCACUUACUCGAUAGUUUCCGCAUGGCACCAACGUGGAGCUACCGGUACUUACGCGAUAGUUUCCGCAUGGCACCAACGUGGAGCCACCGGCACUUACCCAAUAGUUUUCACAUGGCACCAACGUGGAACCACCAGCACUUACGCGAUAAUUUCCGAAUGGCAACAACGUGGAGCCACCGGCACACCCGAUAAUUUUUGCAUGGCAACAACGUGGAGCCACCGACACUUACGCGAUAGUUUUCGCAUGACACCAAGGUGGAGCCACUGUUACUUACCCAAUAGUUUUUCACAUGGCACAAACGUGGAGCCAUCGGACGUCAUAGUGUUAAUAGUUUCAUUUUAUUAACUAAAUACAUUUUAUCUGUUCUUAGAUCACAAUUUUGUUUAUAAAUAUAUUUAAUUAACACUUAAAAAAUCCUAUUAGUGGUCAGCAAGAUUUAAAUGAUGAAUUUACUGGUCCGUGUGAUCAAAAAGUUUGGCGACCACUGCAAUAAAUAUCACUUAAAAAGAAAGAAAGAAGUAAAAUCGAUCCUUGCCAUUCUUAAUCCUCGCCUUUUAACAUAAACAAUUUCCGCGAAUUAUAUUUACCGAAAUAGUAAUCCUCAAUGUAAAACGAUUUUAUAAAAUACGAAUCGAAACGAAUUUGAAAAUCUUAACGA